GAACGAUGACGAGUGUGCAGUCGUUCCUGGUCGGAAUAUGCGUUGCGAUACAGACUUCCGUAGCAUAUGAAUACAGCUACAUUGACCAGUUGCGUAUGGCACGCACGCAGGCAGACGGAGGUAACGCGACAGAAAUCUGUCAUCUUCCCAAGGC